UUAAGCGACUAAGCGUACACGGUGGAUGCCCUGGCAGUCAGAGGCGAUGAAGGGCGUGCUAAUCUGCGAUAAGCGCCGGUAAGGUGAUAUGAACCGUUAUAACCGGCGAUACCCGAAUGGGGAAACCCAGUGUGAUUCGUCACACUAUCAUUAACUGAAUCCAUAGGUUAAUGAGGCGAACCGGGGGAACUGAAACAUCUAAGUACCCCGAGGAAAAGAAAUCAACCGAGAUUCCCCCAGUAGCGGCGAGCGAACGGGGAGGAGCCCAGAGCCUGAAUCAGCAUGUGUGUUAGUGGAAGCGUCUGGAAAGGCGCGCGAUACAGGGUGACAGCCCCGUACACAAAAGCGCAUGUGCUGUGAGCUCGAUGAGUAGGGCGGGACACGUGGUAUCCUGUCUGAAUAUGGGGGGACCAUCCUCCAAGGCUAAAUACUCCUGACUGACCGAUAGUGAACCAGUACCGUGAGGGAAAGGCGAAAAGAACCCCGGCGAGGGGAGUGAAAAAGAACCUGAAACCGUGUACGUACAAGCAGUGGGAGCACAGGUUUACCUGUGUGACUGCGUACCUUUUGUAUAAUGGGUCAGCGACUUAUAUUCUGUAGCAAGGUUAACCGUAUAGGGGAGCCGUAGGGAAACCGAGUCUUAACCGGGCGUUAAGUUGCAGGGUAUAGACCCGAAACCCGGUGAUCUAGCCAUGGGCAGGUUGAAGGUUGGGUAACACUAACUGGAGGACCGAACCGACUAAUGUUGAAAAAUUAGCGGAUGACCUGUGGCUGGGGGUGAAAGGCCAAUCAAACCGGGAGAUAGCUGGUUCUCCCCGAAAGCUAUUUAGGUAGCGCCUCGUGAAUUCAUCUCCGGGGGUAGAGCACUGUUUCGGCUAGGGGGCCAUCCCGGCUUACCAACCCGAUGCAAACUGCGAAUACCGGAGAAUGUUAUCACGGGAGACACACGGCGGGUGCUAACGUCCGUCGUGAAGAGGGAAACAACCCAGACCGCCAGCUAAGGUCCCAAAGUCAUGGUUAAGUGGGAAACGAUGUGGGAAGGCCCAGACAGCCAGGAUGUUGGCUUAGAAGCAGCCAUCAUUUAAAGAAAGCGUAAUAGCUCACUGGUCGAGUCGGCCUGCGCGGAAGAUGUAACGGGGCUAAACCAUGCACCGAAGCUGCGGCAGCGAACGUAUCACUUAAAGCGAUUCAGCGGGUUACGAUUGACGGAGCGAAGCGACGUCAAAGCGUAUACAAAGUCGAGUCGGUUUAAGGAUACGUUCGUUGGGUAGGGGAGCGUUCUGUAAGCCUGUGAAGGUGGCCUGUGAGGGUUGCUGGAGGUAUCAGAAGUGCGAAUGCUGACAUAAGUAACGAUAAAGCGGGUGAAAAGCCCGCUCGCCGGAAGACCAAGGGUUCCUGUCCAACGUUAAUCGGGGCAGGGUGAGUCGACCCCUAAGGCGAGGCCGAAAGGCGUAGUCGAUGGGAAACGGGUUAAUAUUCCCGUACUUGGUGUUACUGCGAAGGGGGGACGGAGAAGGCUAUGUUGGCCGGGCGACGGUUGUCCCGGUUUAAGCGUGUAGGUGUGUGUUCCAGGUAAAUCCGGUUCACUUUAACACUGAGGCGUGACGACGAGGCACUACGGUGCUGAAGCAACAAAUGCCCUGCUUCCAGGAAAAGCCUCUAAGCAUCAGGUAACAUCAAAUCGUACCCCAAACCGACACAGGUGGUCAGGUAGAGAAUACCAAGGCGCUUGAGAGAACUCGGGUGAAGGAACUAGGCAAAAUGGUGCCGUAACUUCGGGAGAAGGCACGCUGACACGUAGGUGAAGUGAUUUACUCAUGGAGCUGAAGUCAGUCGAAGAUACCAGCUGGCUGCAACUGUUUAUUAAAAACACAGCACUGUGCAAACACGAAAGUGGACGUAUACGGUGUGACGCCUGCCCGGUGCCGGAAGGUUAAUUGAUGGGGUCAGCGCAAGCGAAGCUCCUGAUCGAAGCCCCGGUAAACGGCGGCCGUAACUAUAACGGUCCUAAGGUAGCGAAAUUCCUUGUCGGGUAAGUUCCGACCUGCACGAAUGGCGUAAUGAUGGCCAGGCUGUCUCCACCCGAGACUCAGUGAAAUUGAACUCGCUGUGAAGAUGCAGUGUACCCGCGGCAAGACGGAAAGACCCCGUGAACCUUUACUAUAGCUUGACACUGAACAUUGAGCCUUGAUGUGUAGGAUAGGUGGGAGGCUUUGAAGUGUGGACGCCAGUCUGCAUGGAGCCGACCUUGAAAUACCACCCUUUAAUGUUUGAUGUUCUAACGUGGACCCGUGAUCCGGGUUGCGGACAGUGUCUGGUGGGUAGUUUGACUGGGGCGGUCUCCUCCUAAAGAGUAACGGAGGAGCACGAAGGUUGGCUAAUCCUGGUCGGACAUCAGGAGGUUAGUGCAAUGGCAUAAGCCAGCUUGACUGCGAGCGUGACGGCGCGAGCAGGUGCGAAAGCAGGUCAUAGUGAUCCGGUGGUUCUGAAUGGAAGGGCCAUCGCUCAACGGAUAAAAGGUACUCCGGGGAUAACAGGCUGAUACCGCCCAAGAGUUCAUAUCGACGGCGGUGUUUGGCACCUCGAUGUCGGCUCAUCACAUCCUGGGGCUGAAGUAGGUCCCAAGGGUAUGGCUGUUCGCCAUUUAAAGUGGUACGCGAGCUGGGUUUAGAACGUCGUGAGACAGUUCGGUCCCUAUCUGCCGUGGGCGCUGGAGAACUGAGGGGGGCUGCUCCUAGUACGAGAGGACCGGAGUGGACGCAUCACUGGUGUUCGGGUUGUCAUGCCAAUGGCACUGCCCGGUAGCUAAAUGCGGAAGAGAUAAGUGCUGAAAGCAUCUAAGCACGAAACUUGCCCCGAGAUGAGUUCUCCCUGAGACUUAAAGUCUCCUGAAGGAACGUUGAAGACGACGACGUUGAUAGGCCGGGUGUGUAAGCGCAGCGAUGCGUUGAGCUAACCGGUACUAAUGAACCGUGAGGCUUAACCUU
rnacentral:rRNA from 1 species